UAGCAAUAAUAGCUUAAAUAUAAAGCAUUGGUCUUGUAAAUCAAAGAUUGCAUUAAAAUAAUGCUUAUUGCU
rnacentral:tRNA from 1 species